ensembl:lncRNA
UUCUGAAUGUAAAUUAUAAAUAGUGAGGAUAUAUUUAAAAAAAUAUCCAAACAAAUCUGUUUAACUCUGAAAGAAAAUAUCUCUAUCCUUUCAAGCCUUCUAGCAGUUUAUAAUCUUCAUUUUUAUUAUUUUCUUAGAAAGUGAUCUGUGUCUUUUGGAAGUGUAUAUAUGAAUAAAUAUAUAAGGGAAUAUAUAUCUGUAUGUGUGUAUGUGUGUAUAUAUGUAUUCCCCUAUAUAUAAAACUCUAAUUUAUAUAUAUUAUAUAUAUUUAUGUAUAUAUAAAAUAUAUAUAAUGUUUUAGAGUAUGUUGCAUAUUGUGCCUAAUAAGUGACACACACUUGUAAGCAGAUAAAAGAUUUCAGCAAAUGAUAGAACAAUGUAAAGAUUUUUUACAAUGGUAAAUUAUUAUUUUUCAGUUUAUGAUGGUUUUAUUUACAUCAGAAAUUCAUUCAGAAAACUUCAUUAUUUCACAACACUGAUAUUUCAAGCAUGACUCAACUAAAAGUUGACCUAAUUUCACUGAGAAUUUUCAUUGUUAGGCUGGAACUCCUCCACUGAGGGUGGAGUGGUUGGUUGUUUUUGUUCUGAAAACAUUAUCUGUGUGAUCUCUGAACAGACUGUGAAAUGUAGGCUGAUUUUUGAACACUGUAGUAUGUAUGUCAAAAUCAUAUGAGAUAUUUAUAGACAAGAUAUUCUUGUAAAAACUAUGGAAAAUGAGGAAACUGAAGGCUCUGCAAACUAUUCCAAUUAAAUUAUUGUGGGGAACUCUCCAGAACAUUAAAUUAUAAUAAUGGUGGCAAUUUUUAAUACAUUUUCCACAUACUGUUUUUAUUCUGUCUGCAGGUAGGCAAGUCUGUGAAAUGCCUACAUUUGUCUCUGACUCUUAAGAAGUAUUACCUUAUUUUAUUUUUUAAGAAUUUUUUCAGAGUGGUACAUAAAGCACUUACGUAAAUACCCUUCCUGAUCUGUGACACAGAUGUAUUUUCCAAUUCUGGCUUACUUGGAAAGUUGACCAUGUCUGCAGUCUACCAAUAGAACUUGGUAUUCCUAUGCAAUAAUUCAACAUGUAGUUGCCACUGUUGCUGGCUAAUAUUUUUUUUCAUCAUUUUUGUAUUUUGCAAUACUGUAUGGUUUUUACUUGAAUAUAUUGGCUAAACUUUUGUUUUGUUUUGACAAUCAAUUAUUAGCUAGUGGUGCUAUUUAUGUUCCAAAGAGAUUUGGGUGGAUGAUAACAUUUUCUUUCUAGAUGCCAAAUGCUUUUUUGACCUGACAAAAAUCAUUGUUCAUAGUGUAUAUUAAUCCUGUAAAAAUGCUUAUGCACUGCAUUACACUGUCUUUAAAUGCAUUUUUGCUCAUUAACUUCUAUUCCAGGACUGUACUAGUGUCUAAUAUGUCCAGUUUGUCCAUACACAUUUAUGGAAAAUUACAAAGAAAAAUAUGUAUGAUUAACAAUCAAAAAAAAAAAAAAAAAAAGAAGAAAAGAAAAAAAAAAGAAAGAAAUAAAAUUUCCAUGUAAAGUUUCUGGAAGUUUGUAAAUACUUUUUAAAAUUUUCAUUAUUUAGUUGAAAAUUAUUUUUAAUUUUAAAGUGCGCAGAUAUUCAUAGAUACAUGCGUAGAUUAACUAUUCAGAUUUAGCUAAGACCUCAAAAUCUUGUAUACCUGUGUAUAGAUACAGAACUGAAAGGUUUCCAGUGCAGAAAAAAUAGUACUAGCAGUAAAUGUACUACCAGCCCUUUGUUAUCCCUAACCACAACAUAAUUAUAACUAAUUUUCAUAAAUUACUAAAAAAAAAAAAAUAAUCUGGACACCCAGAACUUUUGUCAAUUAUUCUGAUUGGGAAAUUUUUCUGUAUUCCAUGUACAUGCACAAUCAUUCAUUUAUUACUAAUACUCAUUUUUGUAUAGGAGAGGAAUAUGUCCAUAUAAAUUGAAAUAGUGGUUAUAGAUAACUCUAUUCAUUCACUUCUUUCUAAGUGUUUCCGGAUCCAACUUAUUUGUCCCUUAGCUUAGGGCAACAGUCGCUAGCCUCAGUUAAAUUCUUUUUUAUUUAUGUAAUUUGAUUGGGUGUUUUAAAUCAGAGACAAUUGAUUAACAUCCUUUGCAUGCUAUCUACGUGCUUUUUAUAAACAAGCACAGCAAGCUAGUAGGAAACGAAGGUGUACCAUUUCUUAAUUGAACUGCUGAAUACAAAACAUAACUCCUAUGAAAACAAAUGACAUUUAUUUUCAGAUUUCUAAUAACUGCAAUAUUUAUUUUCAAGUAAUGUUAUCAGUAAUUUUCUUGAUAUGGAAAUGUUGAUUCAGCUAUAUUUAGAUUCUGUUUAGAUUCUAGCCCAUUGUAAUAUUUGCAUAUUUGAAUAUAUGUAAUAUUCAUAAAUAAUCUAUUUUGAGGCAUAGACCAAACAAAGAUUAAAAUUAAAUU